CAGCAGCCACGGGAAUACGAAGGGGGCUAGCGUUGCUCGGAAUUACUGGGCGUAAAGGGAGCGUAGGCGGGUCGUUUAGUCAGAGGUGAAAUCCCGGGGCUCAACCUCGGAACUGCCUUUGAUACUGGCGACCUUGAGUAUGGGAGAGGUAAGUGGAACUCCGAGUGUAGAGGUGAAAUUCGUAGAUAUUCGGAAGAACACCAGUGGCGAAGGCGACUUACUGGCCCAUUACUGACGCUGAGGCUCGAAAGCGUGGGGAGCAAACAGGAUUAGAUAUCCCCGUAGUCCCUGUCUCUUAUAC
rnacentral:rRNA from 1 species